rnacentral:rRNA from 1 species
CCUACGGGCGGCUGCAGUGGGGAAUAUUGCACAAUGGGCGCAAGCCUGAUGCAGCCAUGCCGCGUGUGUGAAGAAGGCCUUCGGGUUGUAAAGCACUUUCAGCGGGGAGGAAGGCGGUGAGGUUAAUAACCUCAUCGAUUGACGUUACCCGCAGAAGAAGCACCGGCUAACUCCGUGCCAGCAGCCGCGGUAAUACGGAGGGUGCAAGCGUUAAUCGGAAUUACUGGGCGUAAAGCGCACGCAGGCGGUCUGUCAAGUCGGAUGUGAAAUCCCCGGGCUCAACCUGGGAACUGCAUUCGAAACUGGCAGGCUAGAGUCUUGUAGAGGGGGGUAGAAUUCCAGGUGUAGCGGUGAAAUGCGUAGAGAUCUGGAGGAAUACCGGUGGCGAAGGCGGCCCCCUGGACAAAGACUGACGCUCAGGUGCGAAGGCGUGGGGAGCAAACAGGAUUAGAUACCCGAGUAGUC